rnacentral:misc_RNA from 1 species
UGCAGGUGAUCGCCUCGAUGCG